rnacentral:rRNA from 1 species
CCUACGGGGUGCAGCAGUGAGGAAUAUUGGUCAAUGGCCGGAAGGCUGAACCAGCCAUGCCGCGUGAAGGUCAGUGCCCUAUGGGCGUUAAACUUCUUUUGUGCGGGAGCAAUAAUGGUCACGUGUGGCCAGACGAGAGUACCGUACGAAUAAGCAUCGGCUAACUCCGUGCCAGCAGCCGCGGUAAUACGGGGGAUGCAAGCGUUAUCCGGAUUUAUUGGGUUUAAAGGGUGCGUAGGCUGUGAGGUAAGUCAGCGGUGAAAUGCCCCCGCUCAACGGGGUGAAGUGCCAUUGAUACUGCCUUGCUGGAAUGCGGAUGCCGUGGGAGGAAUGUGUGGUGUAGCGGUGAAAUACGUAGAGAUCGGGAGGAACACCAGUGGCGAAGGCGGCCUGCUGGGCUCUAACUGACGCUGAGGCACGAAAGCGUGGGUAGCAAACAGGAUUAGAUACCCUGGUAGUC